GUUGGAAAUCAUUCAUAGAGUGUAAAGGCAUAAGGGAGCUUGACUGCGAGACCUACAAGUCGAGCAGGGUCGAAAGACGGACUUAGUGAUCCGGUGGUUCCGCAUGGAAGGGCCAUCGCUCAACGGAUAAAAGCUACCCCGGGGAUAACAGGCUUAUCUCCCCCAAGAGUUCACAUCGACGGGGAGGUUUGGCACCUCGAUGUCGGCUCAUCGCAUCCUGGGGCUGUAGUCGGUCCCAAGGGUUGGGCUGUUCGCCCAUUAAAGCGGUACGCGAGCUGGGUUCAGAACGUCGUGAGACAGUUCGGUCCCUAUCCGUCGUGGGCGUAGGAAAUUUGAGAGGAGCUGUCCUUAGUACGAGAGGACCGGGAUGGACAUACCUCUGGUGUACCAGUUGUCGUGCCAACGGCAUAGCUGGGUAGCUAUGUGUGGACGGGAUAAGUGCUGAAAGCAUCUAAGCAUGAAGCCCCCCUCAAGAUGAGAUUUCCCAACUUCGGUUAUAAGAUCCCUCAAAGAUGAUGAGGUUAAUAGGUUCGAGGUGGAAGCAUGGUGACAUGUGGAGCUGACGAAUACUAAUCGAUCGAAGACUUAAUCAAAA
rnacentral:rRNA from 1 species